rnacentral:rRNA from 1 species
GAUGAACGCUGACAGAAUGCUUAACACAUGCAAGUCAACUGUGGAGGACGGGUGAGUAACGCGUAAAGAACUUGCCUCACAGAUAGGGACACCAUUUGGAAACGAAUGCUAAUACCUGAUACUGUGAGAGAGCUUUGCGUCCCAUUAGCUAGUUGGAGAGGUAACGGCUCACCAAGGCGAUGAUGGGUAGCCGGCCUGAGAGGGUGAUCGGCCACAAGGGGACUGAGACACGGCCCUUACUCCUACGGGAGGCAGCAGGGGGGAAUAUUGAACAAUGGACCAAAGGUUGAUCCGGCAAUUCUGUGUGCACGAUGAAGUUUUCGGAAGGAAAAGUGCGUGCAGUUGGGAAGCGGUACCAACAGAAGAAGUGACGGCUAAAUACGUGCCAGCAGCCGCGGUAAUUC